rnacentral:rRNA from 1 species
UACGUAGGCAGCGAGCGUUGUUCGGAAUUACUGGGCGUAAAGAGUGUGUAGGCGGUGCUCCCAGUCUGUUGUGAAAUCUCCCGGCUUAACUGGGAGGGUGCAGCGGAAACUAGAGUGCUAGAGGGUGGGAGAGGUAAGCGGAAUUCCUGGUGUAACGGUGAAAUGCGUAGAUAUCAGGAGGAACACCUGUGGUGUAGACAGCUUACUGGACCACUUCUGACGCUGAGACACGAAAGCGUGGGUAGCAAACAGG